rnacentral:rRNA from 1 species
UACGAAGGGGGCUAGCGUUGUUCGGAGUUACUGGGCGUAAAGGGCGCGUAGGUGGCGCGGGAAGUCAACGGUGAAAGUUCGGGGCUCAACCCUGAAUCGGCCGUCGAUACUCCCGGGCUCGAGCACUGUAGAGGCAGAUGGAAUUCCGGGUGUAGCGGUGGAAUGCGUAGAGAUCCGGAAGAACACCGGUGGCGAAGGCGGUCUGCUGGGCAGUUGCUGACACUGAGGCGCGACAGCGUGGGGAGCAAACAGG